CUCAGUGAUUCAUGAAGGUCUGAACGUGUUUGUUUUCACCCAGCAGAGGGCGUUCUUCUCAUUUCUGUAGUCCUCAUGUACACAAUGAGCUCAAGACUCAUCAUGGAAGGUCAAAUCUUGCCACAGGGUGGAGCUCCAGACUUAAAUCACAGUGUUUCCGUGAGAAAAGACACAUCUGAGUUUGUCAUUUCACUCCAUCAUGCUGCUCUGUGCACUUGGAAUAUUUGCAGUACUUGCAGGAGACUCUCUUGGUGAUGUAAUAACAUCUCAUGGUUCUGAAAAAGAAGCUCAAGAUGGUAACAGUGUUACUCUCUCCUGCAACUACAGCGGUGUUGUUCUCAAUCUACUGUGGUAUCGUCAGUAUCAGAGAUCCAAACCAGAACUCCUUCUCUCCAUCACUGAAUCUGGAGAUGCAGUUAAAGCAGAUCCAUCAGCCCAAUGGUUUUCUCCUAAAGUUGACAAACUCAGAAAGCUCAUGGAACUGGAAAUCAGUCCUGCUAAAGUAUCAGACUCUGCUCUGUAUUACUGUGCUCUGCAGCCCACAGUGACAGGAAACUCUUUUCCUCAGUACAUAAUCUUUCUGCAUAUUAGUCAUGCUUUUCUUUGAUGUUUAACAAGCACAUGUAUUCUGUGUGUUGUUUCUGUGACUCAAUUAUCCAUCAGUAACUCAAGAACCUCUUUUAAAUAAUUCAAGUAGGCCUACCAACACAACACACAUUUCUAUAGAGAACAGCAACGGCUGCCAGACAAAAACCAUAAAAUUAAAGUAAAAUCUCCUUAUUUAAAUAAACUGAAAACACUGUCACAUGACCAGCAGCAACAGAACAUUAAACACUAACAGAUCUGUCUAGAUCUCAGCAUCUUUACUUAUUACAAUCUAGUUUGACUAUUUCUUUCAAACAAAA